CAGCAGCCGCGGUAAUACAGAGGGUGCGAGCGUUAAUCGGAUUUACUGGGCGUAAAGCGUGCGUAGGCGGCUUCUUAAGUUGGAUGUGAAAUCCCUGAGCUUAACUUAGGAAUUGCAUUCGAUACUGGGAAGCUAGAGUAUGGGAGAGGAUGGUAGAAUUCCAGGUGUAGCGGUGAAAUGCGUAGAGAUCUGGAGGAAUACCGAUGGCGAAGGCAGCCAUCUGGCCUAAUACUGACGCUGAGGUACGAAAGCAUGGGGAGCAAACAGGAUUAGAUACCCGGGUAGUCCCUGUCUCUUAUAC
rnacentral:rRNA from 1 species